rnacentral:lncRNA from 1 species
CAUGCUGAGGGCUUGAAAAUCCAUAGGAUUUGGAAUCCAACUAAUUGUUUGAUCACUGCUGUUAAGGUUGGAGCAAUGUUAAGACACAAGUAAGAUAUAACAUACUACCAAGGACCAACAUGCAAGAAAUGUCUGAAAAGAUAUAAUUAAAGAUAUGUGAGGUUUGAAAAGGGAUCUAAGCUGGUUGUGAGAAA